GGGGCGGAGAGCUCCUGGACGUCAAAGAGCGGGAGUGGCCUCUCCUCCAAUCCUAGACUGGAUAGGACCACAUUCUGCGGUCGCUAGGCGCGGAAGAAAUUUGGGGAUAGGCCGAAGGCAAACCUAAUGAAAUGGGAGGGAAGAAUUUAGAAAGGUAACACCCCAUUCUGAUAUGGAGUAUUCUGAUAUGGCAUAUGUAUAUAUUCAUUCAUAUAUAAAUGAAAUGAUUAUUAUUUUAAGACGAUUCAAAGAUCUGGUGAAGUGGACAGACCCACAUUAAGUAUGAUGGAGAUUGCUGAAACUACUGGAACAGAUGAGUCCCUGGUGAAUAGAGAAAAGGAGGAGCAUAAUUCAGGAUUUAAGAGCCCUGGAGAUUAACCUAAGACUUGCAACAACCUGAGAUUUUCAUAACCUUGAAGAUAACCAGUCUAUGAAUACAACAGCUGUGAAGUCAGCAGCCUAAGAGCCAUGGAGAGACAGAGAACUGGUUUAGAGUACCUUAGUGUCAGGGAAUUCUCACUAUUUGACCUGACAACUUCCUGGAAACCCCAGUUUGCAGGACUUUAUUUUAUCUGGCUCAGAUCUCAGUCAAGAAAAUGUAACCAGUUUCUUGGGUCAAAAAA